AGUUAUGCCAGCAUAUCUUCACUUGAGCUGGGUUGGGGACUUAACACUGGCUGAGACUGGCUGAAAUGGAGAUCUCCUGAAUCAUAUGCUGCUUAUUCCAGUGGAUCCUGCCAUAGUGUAGCCCUCUAAAGAGAAGAAUGUUAUAAUGAAGGAGAAUAAAAAUUGACAAAACUGAAAUGCUAAGAUAAGUGGUUUUAAUUGUUUAGGUUGGAGGAUAGUAGUGGACUCAGCUGGGAGACAUUAAAAAAAUGAAAAGAGCACCAGCUCAGAACGAGAUGCAUAGCAGGAGCUGCAAAUUGGGCACAGCUACUGGAAGCUCAGCUGAAUUUGCUGAAAGGUUCAUGAACUUUGCUGAACCUGGGCUCAUUGUGAGAAGGAAGCUGAAAAGCAAGCGAGUUCUUCCAGCAUGGAGUUUUAUUAUAAACGCUUCACAUGCCACCCAAAAGGGUUUCACCAAUUGGGACUGAUCCUUCAUUUCAGCUCUCUUCGCCUCCCUCCCCUCCUCAAAUGCUCCUGACAGGUCCAGGAAGUGUGACAGCAUUCAAGUAGAUAUCAUCUAAUUUGAGGACAGAAGUCACUUACUGAUAGAAAAAAUAUUCAGCUUAUCAAGCAGUUGCUCAGGGAAGCUGGCAUCAAGGAAUAAUGAUGUCUGGGCUGAAGAGGAAAAUCACAACAUUUGCGGAGGGUGGGGAGCUAACCAUUUUACUUGGAAAACAGGACAAAGUAACACCAACAACCCAAAAUGUGUCUUUUCACCAAACAAAGGAGAAGUAAAUUAUUCAAACUGGAGAUUGUUAGGAACUCUAAAGUGCAAUGGAACUGUGCUGGGAAUCUUGGUCCUGGGGGUGGGUACAAAACAAGCAAACAAGAAAAGGAAACCAAAGUUUGUUUUUUAGCUAGUGAUGUCCAAAUAAUGUUUAUAUUUCAGAAUAAAUCACAAUACAGA